rnacentral:rRNA from 1 species
CGCAAGCCUGACGGAGCAAGAUCGCGUGGGGGAGGAAAGCCUUUGGGUUGUAAACCCCUUUUCUCAGGGAAGAAGAAAGUGACGGUACCUGAGGAAUCAGCCUCGGCUAACUCCGUGCCAGCAGCCGCGGUAAUACGGAGGAUGCAAGCGUUAUCCGGAAUCAUUGGGCGUAAAGCGUCCGCAGGUGGCUAGUCAAGUCUGCUGUUAAAGACAGAAGCUCAACUUCUGAGUGGCAGUGGAAACUGGGUAGCUAGAGUAUGGUAGGGGUUGAGGGAAUUCCCAGUGUAGCGGUGAAAUGCGUAGAGAUCGGGAAGAACACCGGUGGCGAAAGCGCUCUGCUGGGCCGCAACUGACACUGAGGGACGAAAGCUAGGGGAGCG